UGAUAUGUCGUUAACCAGGUAGCCGUAGGGGAACCUGCGGCUGGAUCACCUCCUUAAUCGACGACAGCAGCUGCUGCAUGAGCUCCCACACGAAUUGCUUGAUUCAUUGAAGAAGACGAUUGGGUCUGUAGCUCAGUUGGUUAGAGCGCACCCCUGAUAAGGGUGAGGUCGGCAGUUCGAAUCUGCCCAGACCCACCAAUUUCAUGGUGUACCCUGUAGCGAUACGGGGCCAUAGCUCAGCUGGGAGAGCGCCUGCCUUGCACGCAGGAGGUCAGCGGUUCGAUCCCGCUUGGCUCCACCAUUACCGAUUGGCACCAACGUUUAAAGCUUAGAAAUGAGCAUUCCACCGAACGGUGAUGAAUGUUGAUUUCUAGUCUUUUGAUUAGAUCGUUCUUUAAAAAUUUGGGUAUGUGAUAGAAAGAUAGACUGGACGUUACUUUCACUGGUAACGGUUCAGGCUAAGGUAAAAUUUGUGAGUUGCUCGUAGAGCAAGCGUACGAAUUUUCGGCGAAUGUCGUCUUCACAGUAUAACCAGAUUGCUUGGGGUUAUAUAUGGUCAAAA
rnacentral:misc_RNA from 1 species